CAGCCGCCACGGGAAAACAGAGGGUGCAAGCGUUAAUCGGAAUUACUGGGCGUAAAGCGCGCGUAGGUGGUUUGUUAAGUUGGAUGUGAAAUCCCCGGGCUCAACCUGGGAACUGCAUCCAAAACUGGCAAGCUAGAGUAUGGUAGAGGGUGGUGGAAUUUCCUGUGUAGCGGUGAAAUGCGUAGAUAUAGGAAGGAACACCAGUGGCGAAGGCGACCACCUGGACUGAUACUGACACUGAGGUGCGAAAGCGUGGGGAGCAAACAGGAUUAGAUACCCCUGUAGUCCCUGUCUCUUAUAC
rnacentral:rRNA from 1 species